GAUGAAGAACGCAGCGAAAUGCGAUAAGUAAUGCGGAUUGCAGAAUUCAGUGAAUCAUCGAAUCUUUGAACGCACAUUGCGCCCGCCAGUAUUCUGGCGGGCAUGCCUGUCUGAGCGUCGUUUCGACCCUCGCGCCCGGCUUCUGUCGGGGGCGGUGUUGGGGAUCGGCCACACCCUUCAGUGGGAGGCCGGCCCCUAAAUUCAGUGGCGACCACGCUGUAGCCUCCCCUGCGUAGUACUAAAACCACCUCGCAGGCGGAGAGCGGUGCGGCCCGCCGUAAAACCCCCCAACUUUUACAAGGUCGACCUCAGAUCAGGUAGGAAUACCCGCUGAACUUAAGCAUAUCAAUAAGCGGAGGA
rnacentral:misc_RNA from 1 species